rnacentral:rRNA from 1 species
CCGUCACACCACGGGAGUUGGAGACGCCCGAAGCCGAUUAUCUAACCUUUUGGAAGAAGUCGUCGAAGGGGGAAUCAAUAACUGGGGUGAAGUCGUAACAAGGUAGCCGUAUCGGAAGGUGCGGCUGGAUCACCUCCUUUCUAAGGAGA